rnacentral:rRNA from 1 species
GACGAACGCUGGCGGCGUGCUUAACACAUGCAAGUCGAACGGUAAGGCCCUUUCGGGGUUAACGGGUUGGGAAAGGGGGGAGAAAAACGGGGUGGUUUUGCCCGCACCUUGGGGUUAAGCUGGGGAAAUGGGGCUAAUAACGGGAUAGGCUUACGCGUGGAUUGCGGGGUGGGGGAAAGUUUUUGCGGUGUGGGAUGGGCCCGCGGCCUAUCAGCUUGUUGGUGGGGUGAUGGCCUACCAAGGCGACGACGGGUAGCCGGCCUGAGAGGGUGUCCGGCCACACUGGGACUGAGAUACGGCCCAGACUCCUACGGGAGGCAGCAGUGGGGAAUAUUGCACAAUGGGCGCAAGCCUGAUGCAGCGACGCCGCGUGGGGGAUGACGGCCUUCGGGUUGUAAACCCCUUUCAGCACAGACGAAGCGUAAGUGACGGUAUGUGCAGAAGAAGCACCGGCCAACUACGUG